rnacentral:rRNA from 1 species
AUUGAACGCUGGCGGCAGGCCUAACACAUGCAAGUCGAGCGGAUGAAGGGAGCUUGCUCCUGGCUUCAGCGGCGGACGGGUGAGUAAUGCCCAGGAAUCUGCCUGGUAGUGGGGGAUAACGUCCGGAAACGGGCGCUAAUACCGCAUACGUCCUGAGGGUGAAAGUGGGGGAUCUUCGGACCUCACGCUAUCAGAUGAGCCUAGGUCGGAUUAGCUAGUUGGUGGGGUAAAGGCCUACCAAGGCGACGAUCCGUAACUGGUCUGAGAGGAUGAUCAGUCACACUGGAACUGAGACACGGUCCAGACUCCUACGGGAGGCAGCAGUGGGGAAUAUUGGACAAUGGGCGAAAGCCUGAUCCAGCCAUGCCGCGUGUGUGAAGAAGGUCUUCGGAUUGUAAAGCACUUUAAGUUGGGAAGAAGGGCAGUAAGUUAAUACCUGGCUGUUUUGACGUUACCAACAGAGUAAGCACCGGCUAACUACGUG